rnacentral:rRNA from 1 species
GAUGAACGCUGGCGGCGUGCCUAAUACAUGCAAGUCGAGCGAACGGACGAGAAGCUUGCUUCUCUGAUGUUAGCGGCGGACGGGUGAGUAACACGUGGAUAACCUACCCAUAAGACUGGGAUAACUUCGGGAAACCGGAGCUAAUACCGGAUGAUAUUUUGAACCGCAUGGUUCAAAAGUGAAAGACGGUCUUGCUGCCACUUUUAGAUGGAUCCGCGCUGCAUUAGCUAGUUGGUAAGGUAACGGCUUACCAAGGCAACGAUGCAUAGCCGACCUGAGAGGGUGAUCGGCCACACUGGAACUGAGACACGGUCCAGACUCCUACGGGAGGCAGCAGUAGGGAAUCUUCCGCAAUGGGCGAAAGCCUGACGGAGCAACGCCGCGUGAGUGAUGAAGGUCUUCGGAUCGUAAAACUCUGUUAUUAGGGAAGAACAUAUGUGUAAGUAACUGUGCACAUCUUGACGGUACCUAAUCAGAAAGCCACGGCUAACUACGUG